GGGGCUGUAGCUCAGCUGGGAGAGCGCCGGCUUUGCAAGCCGGAAGUCAAGGGUUCGAUCCCCUUCAGCUCCACCA
rnacentral:tRNA from 1 species